ACACGACGACCCGUUUGUUUUCGCCGUCCCAGCAUCACAACCACCACCACACGACCGUUCGUUCGCCGUCCCAGCAUCACCACCACCACACAACCACGGGAUGGAGGAAGCAAGGCAAGGCAGGUAUGGCGGCUGGAGGAGGAAGAUGACGGCUUCAGAUUCAGGAAGAGGAAGCUGACGGCGAGUUGGUGAGGAGGCGACGAGAUUAGGUCUAGAUGGAUGUGACGUUUGCCUCCUCUCUGCAAUUUGCCUCUCAAAUCCCAGGAUGAAGAAGAAGAAUCAUGGCUGG